rnacentral:rRNA from 1 species
AUUGAACGCUGGCGGCAGGCUUAACACAUGCAAGUCGAGCGAGCGGAGGACGGGUGAGUAAUGUAUGGGACACUGCCUGAUGGAGGGGGAUAACUACUGGAAACGGUAGCUAAUACCGCAUACCAUCAGAUGUGCCCAGAUGGGAUUAGCUAGUAGGUGGGGUAAUGGCUCACCUAGGCGACGAUCCCUAGCUGGUCUGAGAGGAUGAACAGCCACACUGGAACUGAGACACGGUCCAGACUCCUACGGGAGUCAGCAGUGGGGUAUAUUGCACAAUGGGCGCAAGCCUGAUGCAGCCAUGCCGCGGGUUUGAAGAAGGCCUUCGGGUUGUAAAGCACUUUCAGCGAGGAGGCGUUACUCGCAGAAGAAGCACCGGCUAACUCCGUGCCAGCAGCCGCGGUAAUUC